rnacentral:misc_RNA from 1 species
GAGAUAGGGUCUUCACGGCCCGACCUCCAACCCUCUGUUGUUAAAACUACCUUGUUGCUUUGGCGGGACCGUCUCGGUCUCCGAGCGCACUAACCCUCGGGUUGGUGAGCGCCCGCCAGAGUUAAACCAAACUCUUGUUAAUUAAACCGGUCGUCUGAGUUAAAAUUUUGAAUAAAUCAAAACUUUCAACAACGGAUCUCUUGGUUCU